UUCUAGUCUUGCUCCUUUUUGUUUCAAGAUUAGCUUGGGGCAAGUCGUUAAAUAAAUUGUCAGCAUCCAGUUUCUCACUGGAAGAUUGGAUUGAUUGUUGCAACUUCCUUCUGCCUUUCUUCCUGAUUUCAAUUUCUUCCAGUCAUUAUUAAGGCACCGGAGUUCACAAUUUAUAAUAGAAACAAAAUCAGCUUUUUGCAUAAGCUGAGGUUCCUAUAAGGCACUUGGAUUCAUGCAGCAAGCUAACCAGGCAACCACAAGACACCAAAAGCUUAAGCGCUUAAGGGAAUGGGCCAACAAUGUAUAUGUUAAGCUAGCUUCCUUCACAUGUAGGCUUGCAGAGGUAGAUAAAUGCAGAUAGAGAGAAGUGUAUAGGUGCAGCCCAAUCAUGUACCUUGCAAAUCAGCGGAGAAGUGGGGGAAUGGAGAUUGGAGGUUUCGAACUCAAGGCCUCCUACAACCAGAGCUAUGAUUUCUAUUAGACAACCACUGGUGGAAAGAAAGCCAAGGUUUUCUGGGAUGCAGUGUGUUAACCCUCUCUCUGCUAUUGGGUUACACGGAAUAACUUUGAAGGUUUUAGUGGACUAAACGGAGGAGGAGCCUAGGAAAAAGAUCAGAUUCUGGUCAUCUUAUGGACUUCUGUUUCUACGUAAUCUAAAGAGACUCAUCUCUCUGCUAUUCUUAUGGAUUGAAAGGCUGCAGGCCUUUAUAGCUAGGAGUGUAGGGGGUCCUGGGACCCAAAUUGUUAUAUUUUCGGUUUGAUAGUCCUAUCUAUUCUCAUUUUUGUUUCGUGUACAUUUAAGUGGACUCCUUUUUGUUAGUAUUAAUCGAAUUUUGUAUUUUCUCAAU